rnacentral:rRNA from 1 species
UACGGGGGGGGCAAGCGUUGUUCGGAAUUACUGGGCGUAAAGGGCUCGUAGGCGGCCAACUAAGUCAGACGUGAAAUCCCUCGGCUUAACCGGGGAACUGCAUCUGAUACUGGAUGGCUUGAGUUCGGGAGAGGGAUGUGGAAUUCCAGGUGUAGCGGUGAAAUGCGUAGAUAUCAGGAGGAACACCGGUGGCGAAGGCGGUUCUCUGGGCAUGUCCUGACGCUGAGACGCGAAAGCGUGGGGAGCAAACAGG